rnacentral:rRNA from 1 species
UACGUAGGGGGCAAGCGUUGUCCGGAUUUAUUGGGCGUAAAGAGCGUGUAGGCGGCUUGGUAGGUCCGCUGUGAAAACUCGAGGCUCAACCUCGAGAUGUCGGCGGAAACCACUUGGCUAGAGUCCGGAAGAGGAGAGUGGAAUUCCUGGUGUAGCGGUGAAAUGCGCAGAUAUCAGGAAGAACACCGGUGGCGAAGGCGGCUCUCUGGGACGGUACUGACGCUGAGACGCGAAAGCGUGGGGAGCGAACAGG